AUUGAACGCUGGCGGCAUGCCUUACACAUGCAAGUCGAGCGGUAACGGGCCUUCGGGUGCCGACGAGUGGCGAACGGGUGAGUAAUACAUCGGAACGUGCCCGAUCGUGGGGGAUAACGAGGCGAAAGCUUUGCUAAUACCGCAUACGAUCUACGGAUGAAAGCAGGGGACCGCAAGGCCUUGCGCGGACGGAGCGGCCGAUGGCAGAUUAGGUAGUUGGUGGGAUAAAAGCUUACCAAGCCGACGAUCUGUAGCUGGUCUGAGAGGAUGAUCAGCCACACUGGGACUGAGACACGGCCCAGACUCCUACGGGAGGCAGCAGUGGGGAAUUUUGGACAAUGGGCGCAAGCCUGAUCCAGCCAGGCCGCGUGCAGGAUGAAGGCCUUCGGGUUGUAAACUGCUUUUGUACGGAACGAAAAGCCUUCUUUUAAUACAGGAGGGUCAUGACGGUACCGGAAGAAUAAGCACCGGCUAACUACGUG
rnacentral:rRNA from 1 species